rnacentral:sRNA from 1 species
AUCUGUCAUAUAAUGAAUGCACAGGGUGGCAACACUUUGUUAAGAUGACAGAUGUCAUUCGUUUGUAUUGAUUUGGUAUUUGUUUACUUACUGCCUCGGAUAAUGUUGUGAAACGGUUAACAUUAACAAAAAAAAAAAAUAUUUUACCACUUUCCAGGCAAUUUGUGAAAAAAGAUAUGAAUUUCGACUUUUAAUUUGUGAAAAAAACGGUCGUCGCUGGCUAUACACACUCCGCACUUUCUCCAACAAGUUCCAGGAUCGUAAGUGUUUCUAUUGGUAGGAUUCUCAGCCUUCAAUUUUCCAUGUGGACACCAAUAAUUGAUGUAAUACAGGAGCUGCCGCAAAACGUAAUUUUCAUUAACAUUUAUCCUGCGUGUAUUUAUCAAUGUACAUAAAAGCCUUAAGGGCAUAACGAAAGAAUCCUUAACGACACACAUAUGGAUUGAAUGUCAGGAUACAACGUGGAAGUUGUUGCAAAACAUGAGAGAAAAUAUUUUUAUUAUAAUUUUUUAGAGUCUGUUCCGGAUAAAGCCGAAGGUGGUGAAGGCGAGAUUCUCUUUUCAAAAUUUUGAUUUGGUAAACGUAAGUGUAACGACACGACCAAUGUACAUUUACGUAUGGAAAUCUGAAACGGAAUUGACAUGACAUAUCCCAGACGUAUUGCAUGGGGAAUAUUAAAAUACAAUAUGGCAGCAGCAAUGCAAGACUGAAAGGGCCAGAAAGACUCAUGGCGAAAAUCGGUAAGAAACGCAUAAAAUUGUAUCAUCAACGCACCAUACGGACACAAAUGCAUAUGUAUAAGGAAAUGACUAUUCAAAAAAAUAUGUCAUUGUAAGAAUAUGGUUUGUGAGACUUGUAACUUUCUCUUAAAGAAAUGCAAUGCCCAACCAAAAGCAUGAAAAUAAUCACAUGAUGAAUACCCAAGAUUAAAUUGACUUUUAAUGGAAGGAAAGAAAAUUAUUGGAAAUAAAAAUUUGAUAUCGAAGUUGUGGUACUGAAA